rnacentral:tRNA from 1 species
GCCUGGUUAGUUUGGUAGAGCGUGGGACUCUUGAUCUUAGGGUCGUGAGUUCAAGCCCCACAUUGGGUG